rnacentral:rRNA from 1 species
AUUGAACGCUGGCGGCAGGCCUAACACAUGCAAGUCGAACGAGUGGCGGACGGGUGAGUAAUGUCUGGGAAACUGCCUGAUGGAGGGGGAUAACUACUGGCAACGGUAGCUAAUACCGCAUACCAUCGGAUGUGCCCAGAUGGGAUUAGCUAGUAGGUGGGGUAAAGGCUCACCUAGGCGACGAUCCCUAGCUGGUCUGAGAGGACGACCGGCCACACUGGAACGAGGCAACGGUCCAGACUCUGACGGGAGGAAGCAGUGGGGAAGAUUGCAAAAGGGGCGCAAGCCUGAUGCAGACAUGCCGCGGGUAUGAGGAAGUCCUUCGGGUUGUAAAGUACUUUCAGCGGGGAGGCGUUACCCGCAGAAGAAGCACCGGCUAACUCCGUGCCAGCAGCCGCGGUAAUUC